rnacentral:tRNA from 1 species
UCCCUGGUGUCCCAGCUGGUAAAGAAUCCGCCUGCAGAGCGGGAGACCUAGGUUCGAUCCCUGGGUUGGGAA